AUGUGUGGCGCCCCAGACUCUUGGAAACACUCCCUAAUCAACUGUACAACCUCAAGGUGCACCUGGGCACUGGUCGAUGACGAGCUAGCCAGUCAACUAGUGAACACAAAUAAGACCAAGGCAAAACAGUGGCUGUUUACACUAAUUGAUUCCUUAUCGCAUGAUCAAUUCAUAAAGGUGGCGGUCACACUCUGGGCAAUUUGGACAGCUAGACACAAAGCCAUUCAUGAGCAUAUCUUUCAAACCCCUCGAGCUACUCAUUUGUUUGUAGAAAGAUUCAUACAGGAGCUUUCGGUCCUGUCCGAGAAUGGAGCCACCACCAUCAUAGAAGGGGAUGCAGCCAUACGCCAGAAGGCCCCGCCGAUGGGUUACGCGAAGAUUCAUGUCGAUGCCGGAGUCAGAGCGGGCAGGGGAGGCUCGGCUGCGGCUAUUUGCCGAGAUCACAAUGGUGCUUAUCUGGGAAGCUCAGCGCUGGUAAUAGCCGGUCUGGAUGAUCCAUUAAUAUUGGAGACUAUCGCAUGUAGAGAGGCUCUUGCCCUAGCGGAAGACCUAAACCUAUGUAAUGUGCUCAUUGCGUCUGACUCCAAGCAGGCUAUACUGGACAUCAACAAUGCUAGCGUGGGAAAGAAUGGUUCAAUAGUCAGGGAGAUUAUUGCCCGGUCAAAUGAUUUUCUUUGUAAAUUUACGUUUGAAGGUCGUGCAGCCAAUAAGGAAGCACAUAGCUUAGCUAGAUUUGCUAUUGGUAGAGGGACGGGGAGGCAUACUUGGCUAGGCCAGCCCCACAACCCUAAUUGUAUCCCACUUUCUGUGGACUAUGAUAAAUAA
rnacentral:rRNA from 1 species